UACGUAGGGUCCAAGCGUUGUCCGGAUUUAUUGGGCGUAAAGAGCUCGUAGGCGGCUUAGUAAGUCGGAUGUGAAAACUCGGGGCUCAACCCCGAGACGCCAUCCGAUACUGCUGUCGCUUGAGUCUGGUAGGGGAGCACGGAAUUCCUGGUGUAGCGGUGAAAUGCGCAGAUAUCAGGAGGAACACCGGUGGCGAAGGCGGCUACCUGGACAGAAACUGACGCUGAAGCACGAAAGCUAGGGGAGCAAACAGG
rnacentral:rRNA from 1 species